GGGGACAUAGCUCAGUUGGGAGAGCAUCUGCCUUGCAAGCAGGAGGUCGUGAGUUCGAUUCUCAUUGUUUCCA
rnacentral:tRNA from 1 species